rnacentral:lncRNA from 1 species
ACUGACAAAUACUAUACAGCUUGGACCCUUUAUAUUUUUCUUGGAAAGGUGGCUGCCAUUUUUCUAUCUUUCUCCCUCCCUGCUCCCCCCAAGAAAAAGAAACAUGGAAUCCAUUCUCCUCUGGCUGCCGGCCGGAGCCUGGCUGAAGCUGCUCAGAAGUCCAGGCCUAGGGGAUGUCUUUCUCGAGCCUGUGCUGGUCUAGGAAGCCUCUUCUUUAGGAAUCAUUUUUUUGUCCCCUGUGAACUUACCCUCCCCAGAUGAGUCAAGCAGUCUCUGGUCCUGAGGUCCCAUGGGUUGCCAGUGGCAGUUCAGGGACAGAGGCAGGAAGGAGUGAAAAUGGAGAGGAAUAAAGGGCUGGGGCUGGUCUGGUGCAGGCAGAAGAGGGAAUCAGAGAAGCAUAAAACAUGGAGAAAAAGAUGAGAAGGAACCUUGUCAUGGCAAUGACAACUGACUGCUGUCUUAAUUCAAAGGAGCAAGCAGUUGCCAUGGAAACCAUGUUACUUGUAUGGUCCCGGAUCCCGGUGAUCCGCCCUCCUAGAUCAUAUCUGACACUACGUCUCAGCUGUCAGCCUCCACAUCUCCCCAGCCAUGCAUUCUAGGGG